GACGAACGCUGGCGGCGUGCUUAACACAUGCAAGUCGAACGGAAAGGCCCUGCUUUUGUGGGGUGCUCGAGUGGCGAACGGGUGAGUAACACGUGAGUAACCUGUCCUUGACUUUGGGAUAACUUCAGGAAACUGGGGCUAAUACCGGAUAGGAGCUCCUGCUGCAUGGUGGGGGUUGGAAAGUUUCGGCGGUUGGGGAUGGACUCGCGGCUUAUCAGCUUGUUGGUGGGGUAGUGGCUUACCAAGGCUUUGACGGGUAGCCGGCCUGAGAGGGUGACCGGCCACAUUGGGACUGAGAUACGGCCCAGACUGCUACGGGAGGCAGCAGUGGGGAAUAUUGCACAAUGGGCGGAAGCCUGAUGCAGCAACGCCGCGUGCGGGAUGACGGCCUUCGGGUUGUAAACCGCUUUCGCCUGUGACGAAGCGUGAGUGACGGUAAUGGGUAAAGAAGCACCGGCUAACUACGUG
rnacentral:rRNA from 1 species